AUUAAAUGCGUUAUAUAUUUCUAGUAUUUAUCUUAUAAACUUUUCUAUUUUUUCUACUGCGUCCAAGCUUUAAAGCGACCAGAUUUAAUUUAAAAAAAUAUGAAAUGCAAAAAGAUUAUUGUUCAAUGACAUUUUAUAUUAUUCCAGAUAGCAUAUUUGUGUUUUUAUUCGUAUUAUAUUUGUAGCAAGAACCAUAUACUUUGGCAUAACCAAUGAUUAGUGUAAGCUGUAAGGUGAUGAUCCAGAUACAUGCUAUUCCAGAACGCAAAUACGUAUUGUCUGUAUUUGCAUACACGAAUAAUGUGUUGUUGUUUCAGGUAGAAAGUUACAGUAUUAAAUCAAAAUACAGUGUAUUCAAUGUACAUGUCACGCUUGUUAUUCGAUAGACAGAGAUGACGCUAUCAGUUGUCAAAUUUGUCAAAUAUUCAGAAUCGGCUGUACCCUGUCAUUACUGGGCCCUUAUAUAUAAUAGGUACAGCGAUGCAUAGAAACACUAUCAAUUACAGAAACAUCGUUGUGAACCGCAACCAUGAAUACCUCAGCGUGCCUAGUGAUGGCCCUUCUAGUCUCCUCCCUAUUAACAAUCAACGCCCAGCAUUUCGCAGGCGGUUUCGGUGGUCCAUAUGGAUACGGACACGGAUACUACGCACCUGGUAUCGGUGGCGCUGGAUUCGGCGGUCCAGGGUUUGGCGGCCGCGGGUUCGGUGGAACUGGUCUGGGGCUUCUAGGAGCAGGCCUUCUGGGCGCCAGUCUGGGUGGUGUUCUCGGCGGGCAAGCGGGCGCUGGAAGUGGUAUUGCUCUCUUGGGAUCUGCCGCACUACUGUCUUCCAGAAAUCCAUUGGCACAAACCGUAGGAGCCGUUGGCUUGGGAAGCACCCUCCUUGGCUGAUGUCAUUAUGGUGUGUUUUUGUUUGUUUUUAUGGUUCCAUACGUGAUUAUGAUAUGGAGGAAAUAACAUGAGUGUAAAUACAUGAUUUAUGCUACGUAAAUAUAUAUGUUUGCACGAUGGAAAUAAACUUUUUGGCUCAGUUUAUUCAGGGGACAAUUUAAUGCCUAUUAAGGUGUUGUUUAUUUUACCCGCAUUUCAGGACAUGAAUGAAAACCGCGUGUGCAAGUGUACCUAAAAUAAAAGCGUACUAAAACUGAUUUUUUUUAUGUAGCUUAUCAUUAAUUAUGUUUAAUAAAAGAAAACAUAUUUUUACGGUUGACAUAUUGACACAUCAAUGUGGUCUUCAUUAAAAAUAAAUAAACGUUUGAACACCAAAGCCUUUCCCGUCUUCGUUGCUGAAUAGUGUGAACAUUAUCU